CCCACGUGGAGGAGCCUGGAGGUUAUC
rnacentral:piRNA from 1 species